GAUGAAGAACGCAGCGAAAUGCGAUAAGUAAUGUGAAUUGCAGAAUUCAGUGAAUCAUCGAAUCUUUGAACGCACAUUGCGCCCGCCAGUAUUCUGGCGGGCAUGCCUGUUCGAGCGUCAUUUCAACCAUCAAGCCCCCGGCUUGUGUUGGGGACCUGCGGCUGCCGCAGGCCCUGAAAAGCAGUGGCGGGCUCGCUGUCACACCGAGCGUAGUAGCAUACAUCUCGCUCUGGGCGUGCUGCGGGUUCCGGCCGUUAAACCACCUUCAUAACCCAAGGUUGACCUCGGAUCAGGUAGGAAGACCCGGUGAACUUAAGCAUAUCAAUAAGCGGAGGA
rnacentral:misc_RNA from 1 species